rnacentral:lncRNA from 1 species
AGACAGGAUCUCUGUCCCCAGGCUGGAGUGCAGUGGCAUGAUCUCAGCUCACUGUAACUCCGCCUCCCAGGCUCAAGAGAUCCUCCCGCCUUAGCCUUCCGAGUAGCUGGGAUUACAGGUACACACUACCAUGGCCAGCUAAUUUUUGCAUUUUUUGUAGAGACAUUUGUUUCACCUUGUUGCGUAGGCUGGGCUCAAGCAAUCUACCCACCUUGGCCUCCCAAAGUGCUGAGAUUAUAGGCGUCAGCCACAGUGCCCAGCCAAAAGUAUCCUCUUUUUAAAAUGCACACUGGGAGCUGGGCAGGGUGGGACCAACUGAAGUAGAGCCAUCAGAAUCCUUCCCUGGAAAUACCAGCAUCUCACACUUGGUGUAGCUAAAGAGUCAAAAACAUUUAGAGACAUUAGCAGGUCCAGUUGAGUUCUUCAGCUAGAGGGUUGACAAUAUGAGAGGAAAGGGAUACUCAGAAGGAAGAGUAGUGAAAAAGAUAGGAAGUUGUGAAAUCCACAUGCCAUCCCAUUCUAAAAUUUUGCCUACAUCUUGCCCUACUCCUGUCCAAAGAAAACUCCUAUUUUCUUUUUUGCUUUCUUUGCCUCCCGUUAACCCAGGUCCUCUUGCACCCUACUCCAGACAUUAAAACUGAUAACACAAUCAUUAAUAUUGUAGUUCAGCUUCAUGGUGGGCAUAAGUGAGCAUUUAUGGGCCAGAGUUGCUAUCUGAAAUCCAGUUACAAGGUUGUAACUGUGAGAAGAAUGCCCUAGGUUCUAAACAGCGAUUUAUAAGCUGAUUUUUGGAAAAUAAUCCACCUGUAAAGUGGGGAUUGCCAGAAAUAAACGUAUUUGCAAAUUCUAGUGACAAGAAAGCAAAGUUUUCUUCAAUGUGGUGCCAUUCAUUGGUUCCCUCUAAACAAAGAGUUUUGACUCUGGUGGCUCCAGGGCUGAGCGUACUCCAUGCCUGCUGAUCCUCACAGUUUCUGGGCCCCUGACUUAUAAAUGUGGAUCCAGAGAUCCAUCCACCUGCCUUUGCGAGAUGAGCACGCCUCCUGUUACAAAUUAGACAUGCUCCUCUUACCCCACUGUGGGUCUACAUAUCAGUCUCAAAACACAGUUUGGGGAGAAACAUUCUCCUGGGAGCUGCCUUUAGAGGAACGCAGACAAAUUCCAUCUCUGGGCAAGGGCAAUAAGAGCCACACUCCAGGGGGAGGCCAAAUGAGAGUCAGUAUGUGACCCCACCCAAGAUAGAUUGUAUAGAUACACGUCUCCCAGGAAGACUCAGAAAGGUAACAGCAGCUACUCCAAAACUAAAGAGGGUGAGGAUUGUGCAUCCUACACAGAACCCAUACAACAGCUCUGUGUGGCCGAUGCAAAAAUGUAACAGCACCCGAAGGAUGAUGGUUGAUUACCAAAAACUAAGGUGACUCUGGCCACACAUGCUGCGGUCCCAAAUGUUAGCCCCAAAAGACUAACUGCUUGUUUAGGAAUAUGAAAGAUUGUCCUAUAACAAAACUUUCUUGAACAUACCCUUAGACCCAGAGUCCCAGGACAUGUUUGCCUUCACCGGUGAGGCCCCCAGUGGACCCUUCAGGUUUUCCUCCAGGGGUGCUCACAAAACCCCACUACUGCCUUGGCUUGAUGGCCAGAGACCUGGCUGUUCGGGUGAAUGCCUUGCAGGUCGCCUAAAACAUUGUAUAGAUAAUAUGUCACUGACUUACACAGGUUUGAGUCUUUUAAAAAAGGCUACCCAAAAGGUUCUAAAACACCUACAAUUCCCAGAGGAUAGGUUGUCAACCAACAGAAAGUCCAGGAACCAGGGGACACCAUAAAAGUCCUGAACAUGGUCUAGUCGGGUGAAGCUGGUUUUUCCAACAGCCGUAUUUGACAAAAGACACAGCUGCAAGCAGUUGAAAUAUUGCAGACCUUUGUAGAGCCACAAAGAUAUGAAAGGACCUUCAUUUCCACUUGGCCCACUGUCUCAGGCCAUCUUACUGCCUAAUUAAAAGGGGGCGCAGUGGGGCAGAGAUGCGUUUUUGGGGUGAUUCCAGCCUCAGGUUUGACAAAAGAGACUGUGUGUAGAGUGAAGCUACAAGCCUGGGCCUGAUUCAGUUGUCAGCUGAUGGCCUCUUUGGGCAGUCACUUCCUUCAAGACGACUGCUAAACUAGUCCAUGGAGCUGUACUGUGCCUGAACCCUCAUCCUGGUGGUCUCACUUCUGGGAUAUAACCUUGAGUGGAAAUUGGCCUACAGAGUGGCUCUACUUUUCCUGGAGGUCUUAAGCCGUGAUAAUAUCCAAUCUUGGCUUUAGCUUGGGAGAUAGUGAUCUUGGGGCCCUGAAGAUUCUCGCCCAUUCGGCAGAAGCCAGAGGACCUCUUACUAGGGGAA